rnacentral:rRNA from 1 species
GGGGAAUUGUUCGCAAUGGGCGCAAGCCUGACGACGCAACGCCGCGUGGAGGAUGAAGACCUUCGGGUCGUAAACUCCUUUCGACCGAGAAGAAUAGCUCCCGACCUAAUACGUUGGGAGCAUGACGGUAUCGAGGGAAGAAGCCCCGGCUAACUACGUGCCAGCAGCCGCGGUAAUACGUAGGGGGCAAGCGUUGUCCGGAAUCAUUGGGCGUAAAGCGCGUGUAGGCGGCCUUGUAAGUCCGUUCUGAAAGUCCGGGGCUCAACCCCGGGAGGCGGAUGGAUACUGCAAGGCUCGAGUACGGAAGAGGCGAGUGGAAUUCCCGGUGUAGCGGUGAAAUGCGCAGAUAUCGGGAGGAACACCAAUGGCGAAGGCAGCUCGCUGGGACGUUACUGACGCUGAGACGCGAAAGCGUGGGGAGCAAA